rnacentral:rRNA from 1 species
UGGGGAAUAUUGGACAAUGGGCGCAAGCCUGAUCCAGCCAUGCCGCGUGAGUGAUGAAGGCCUUAGGGUUGUAAAGCUCUUUCGGCGGGGACGAUAAUGACGGUACCCGCAGAAGAAGCCCCGGCAAACUUCGUGCCAGCAGCCGCGGUAAUACGAAGGGGGCUAGCGUUGUUCGGAAUCACUGGGCGUAAAGCGUAUGUAGGCGGAUCGUUAAGUCGGGGGUGAAAGCCCGAGGCUCAACCUCGGAACUGCCUUCGAUACUGGCGAUCUUGAGUCCGGGAGAGGUGAGUGGAACUGCGAGUGUAGAGGUGAAAUUCGUAGAUAUUCGCAAGAACACCAGUGGCGAAGGCGGCUCACUGGCCCGGUACUGACGCUGAGAUACGAAAGCGUGGGGAGCAAACAGG